UAUUGUUGUGAGGUUUAAGUAAGCAGUAAAUAAUACUUAAAAUGCAGUUUAUACCUCAAAGACAAUUAAACGUGUGUCUGUUACGAAUAUCAGUUAGCUGUGCAUUUGAGAGAAAUUAUCACUGUUUAUUCUAAGAAAAAUUAAUGGAAAACAGGUGCACAGUAUCUGGUUUGCAGAUUACGAGGUGCGAUCAGAAAGUUUCCAGACUGUGUCAAUAGAGGGCGCACCGGAUGUAGUACGAGCUUCUGCCGCUAGGGGGUGCGGCCUACAUUCAUAGUGAAUCAGUGUCAGCCGGCAUCAUCGAAUUAGCAUUAGUUUCUUAGUUACGGAUGGAACAGUCGACUUGAGGCACCCCAUAUGAAUCAACAAAGGUUCUGGUGAUAGCAGUUUACAAUGCAGAAAUCUUACCGGAAAUGAAGAGCUCCUGAAGUGUUAUACUGCGUUCCAGCGUUUUCGGCCGCUGAGCUUUGUGAAUUGGAACCUUGGAGCGAUUCACUUACCAGAAGUUUCCUGGAAGGGGUGGCAGCAGGCCGCGUACAGCACAUUCCAAAUAAAGUAUCACCAC